rnacentral:rRNA from 1 species
AUUGAACGCUGGCGGCAGGCUUAACACAUGCAAGUCGAGCGAGCGGCGGACGGGUGAGUAAUGUCUGGGAAACUGCCUGAUGGAGGGGGAUAACUACUGGAAACGGUCGCUAAUACCGCAUACCAUCGGAUGUGCCCAGAUGUGAUGAGCUAGUAGGUGGUGUAACGGCUCACCUAGGCGACGAUCCCUAGCUGGUCUGAGAGGAUGACCAGCCAUACUGGAACUGAGACACGGUCCAGACUCCUACGCGAGGCAGCAGUGGGGAAUAUUGCACAAUGGGCGCAAGCAUGAUACAGCCAUGCCGCGUGUAUGAAGAAGGAUUGCGGGUUGUAAAGUACGUUCAGCGGGGAGGCAUGACCCGCAGAAGAAGCACAGGCUAAUUCCGUGCCAGCAGCCGCGGUAAUAC